rnacentral:lncRNA from 1 species
CUUACCUUAAAUAAACGAGCUGUGCUCUAUUCGGCCUCUUUUACCGCUGAACUCCAAACGGACGACAUCGUACUUUCUGCUCUGCAAACCUUAUCACAACACAACUCUCAUCUCUAAAUCCCGGUUGUUUUAAUUGGCGACGAAGGAGUGAAGAACUACGCGAGCGAUUUUUUUUCUUUCGGUGGUGUAUUUAAUCGAACAGUUUUUUUUAAUCAAUUUUUCCUUUGCGGGAUUGAAACGAUCGUCCUGUUCGGGUGUACACGCAUCGGGGAAGAAAUUUGCUAGCCAUUGUGUGCGAGUAGCGGCGGCACCAUUUUGUUUUCUACAAACCGACGCCGAGUGAGCAGCAGCAAAAAACCGAGGAUUCUGUCGGUGUGCCUGGAAGUGCGGUACCUGUUGGCCGGAGAUUCGCAUCGGAACGGUCGCAGCACGGCGAAUUCCGUGGUUCGGGCGGCAAGUGGCACGAUUUUGCGCGGCGUAUUCCGGUGGAUUUUUGCUGAUUCGGUGCGGUGAAGGUUCUGCUUUUUGCGGUGGUUUGGAGCGUCGGCAGUUCCGGCGGCAUUUUUGGGACAAAGGAGAGCGUUCGUUGGCGGCGGUGACCAGGCGAUUUGUUCUUGGACCGGGAGAAAGCAGCUUUGUGAGGCCAAAUUGCCACGGUGUAAUUCAGCUGUUUGAGCCGGUGCACAAACUUUUGCUUCGCUGAACGACGUUUUCCUGUGCUGGUGCACGGUGCGCACGACGAGUUUGUGCAGGAGGUUAAGUUUGCUUGCUGGCAAAGGCCGGGUGCGAGAUCGAUACUCAUUCAACACGGUUCCCAGUGUAGCGAAGACAAGAAAGCGCGAUGGCGGCUAGUAGCACGAACCGUCGUGUUGUGGACUCGAAGGAGAUGUGCUGUUCGUGGUGACUGGCAAUCAAAGAGGUUACUGGUGGAGUGCAGCAAACGAAAUGACCUUCUACUGAAGACGAAAUGCGAAACGACAUGGAGAUUUCGAACGAGGACACGUGUGGUGCUGGAUGCGGCAGAUACCGUCCGUUUAGGGGUGUCUCUGAACGGAAAGGAACAAAACGUAAAAACGCAAAAAGUGACUAUUUUAAAUUCCUGAACAAUAUUUUCAUUCGAAUAGUACAAAAAGUUGUAUUAGAUUUUUGGUUGAUUCAUAACCUUGCUUAUCAUUUCAUUAAUGAGUU